rnacentral:rRNA from 1 species
UACAGGGGAUGCAAGUGUUAUUCGGAAUUAUUGGGCGUAAAGCGUCUUUAGGUGGCUAUUUAAGUCUUUUGUUAAAUCUUUGGGCUUAACCGAAAACAAGCAAAGGAAACUGCUUAUCUUGAGUUUGGUAGAGGUAAAGGGAAUUUCCAGUGGAGCGGUGAAAUGCGUUGAUAUUGGAAGGAACACCAAGAGCGAAGGCACUUUACUGGGCCUGUACUGACACUGAGAGACGAAAGCUAGGGGAGCAAACAGG